UCAGGGAGCCGUUUCAUCAACGAUUUACGACUAGUUGUAAAUUACGAUUUACAUAAAUUACGAUGUUUCAAUGAAAUCGCGUUUCAUCAAGCAAAUCGUAAAUUAAAAUUACAUAAAUUUCAUACAUAAAUAUACGACUGGGUAAGGGCACCCGUAAAUUAACAUAAUGGCGGUCGUUUUUGUCAUCCAAGAUGGCAGGAGACGAACAAUUACCAAUGCCAAGGCUUUUAAGGGAGAGAUUGUUCUCGAAAACCUAAGAGAUGAGAACAUUGCUUCGAUAUAUCGUCUAAGUAAGGGCGGAAUAGAGCGAUUGUUGGUUUUGAUCGGGGAAGACAUAGCACCAACUUGCCGGCGAGCUCAUCCCUUUCAUUCCGUCGCUUAGAUUUUGGCAUAUUGCCAAGGGAGAUGUUUACUGAGGAUUCCAUGCCAUUAAUGUGCAGGCUGUUGCUGACGCCAGCAUGAGCAAUAUCUGAGCACCAAUGAUGAGGGUCAUCUGCUGGGAGAUAGUGGGUAUCCGUUAAGGACUAACCUGAUGACCCCUUAACCUCAUCCCUCCCAUGCUGCGGAACAAGCCUACAAUGACCAUCUAUGUAGAGGAUAUCUGCAUGCCACUGGUGGAUGUUGGCCUUUCAAGUCCAAUAAGUGCUGUGAAAUAUCAACUGUGUACAUGCCCCUGCAUAACCUGUGUCUGGAUUCAAACGUUCCACUGAUAGAGGAAUUGGUUGGAAAUGUGAUGGAACCGGAAGUUAUGAACAACACACCAGUACAUCGAGCAGCAUGUGAUAAGAGGCAGCAGAUGAUCAAACUGUUUCAUAAAAUGUGUUAAAAAUUUAUAGUUAUAAAUGUUAUAAAGUGAUAGAUGGCUCGAGUCUUCUCUGAAUAGGCAGAGCUACACUACUCAGCCAAAUGGCGUAAAGUUGUGUCAUAGCUGAUUUGGAAGGAUUGGUAUUCCUGGUCAUCUAGACACAAUAGUUACAACAGCUGAUGUUUGCAUGUUUUAUAAUUGUGUAUGCAUAAUUUGUCUAAUAUUUACUUCAAGGUUAUAGGUUUGUGAAAGAAAAAAAUGUCAAUGUUCUGAGGACCAAUAAAAAAAGUUAUGUGUUAGGUAUUACCAAGUGCUUGAUUUAAUAUUUAUUUUAAAGGGAACUUUUCCUAAAUUUUGGCAGAUAUUCAAGUUUUUCAUUAAACGCUUUUAUAUUGAUACAUGUAAACACUGGAUCUAAAAAGCUCCAGUAAAAAAAGAAUACAAUUAAAGAAAGAUAAAAAGUAACUCCUACAGGGCUCAAACCACUGACCCCUGAAGUAAAAGCCUCACACUAAGACCACUUGUCCGUCCAUGUUGAUACAAUGAGUGAUGUAUUUUACACUUUAUAUAAGCAAUCCUCAUCGUGUCACAAAAUAUUACGACAACAACAGAACUCUACAAAUUAUUCAAUCGUCGAGUGUUGCAGCAGAUAGUUGCAACGCUUUAAAAUUUUCAAGUUUUUAAAUCGUCAAAAGUUGCAUAUAAUGGAUAUUUUAGAGCAUGGUAAAUGUUCAGUAUUACUGUUUCCUCACAAAUAUCAUAACUACAACAAAUGUUUGCGAAUCUUAAACUUAUUUUUUUUAAUUUAGUCAAUUUACCAAAACUGGAAAAGGUCCCUUGAAUAUUGAACAGUUAUCUGAGCUCCAGAAAAGAUCAUAUACUCAAGGUACUUUUCCCCAUUAACAAUUAUUCAAGUGAUAUUUUACCCACUGACUUUCGCUCUAAAAGGUGUUCUCUGUAAUGAACAUUCUCAAAGCCACAUUAAAACAAGGGCUGUUAGUAAAACAUGCAUGCCCCCCAUUUGGGCUGUCAGUUGUAGUGGCAGUCAUUGUGUGAAUACGUUUUUUUGUCACUGUGAACUUGACCUUUGACUUAGUGACCUGAAAAUCAAUAGGAGUCAUCUGC